UGGGGAAUAUUGCACAAUGGAGGAAACUCUGAUGCAGCAACGCCGCGUGAGUGAUGAAGGUCUUCGGAUUGUAAAGCUCUGUCUUCUGGGACGAUAAUGACGGUACCAGAGGAGGAAGCCACGGCUAACUACGUGCCAGCAGCCGCGGUAAUACGUAGGGAGCAAGCGUUGUCCGGAUUUACUGGGUGUAAAGGGUGCGUAGGCGGCUCUGCAAGUCAGGUGUGAAAACUAUGGGCUUAACCCAUAGACUGCAUUUGAAACUGUGGGGCUUGAGUGAAGUAGAGGCAGGCGGAAUUCCCGGUGUAGCGGUGAAAUGCGUAGAGAUCGGGAGGAACACCAGUGGCGAAGGCGGCCUGCUGGGCUUUAACUGACGCUGAGGCACGAAAGCAUGGGUAGCAAACAGGAUUAGAUACCCUGGUAGUCCAUGCCGUAAACGAUGAUUACUAGGUGUGGGGGGUCUGACCCCUUCCGUGCCGGAGUUAACACAAUAAGUAAUCCACCUGGGAAGUACGACCGCAAGGUUG
rnacentral:rRNA from 1 species